rnacentral:rRNA from 1 species
GACGAACCGUACGAACGUUAUUCGGAAUCACUGGGCUUAAAGGGUGCGUAGGCGGCGCGACAAGUUGGGUGUGAAAUCCCUCGGCUCAACCGAGGAACUGCGCCCAAAACUGUCGUGCUCGAGGGAGACAGAGGUGAGCGGAACUUAGGGUGGAGCGGUGAAAUGCGUUGAUAUCCUAAGGAACACCGGUGGCGAAAGCGGCUCACUGGGUCUCUUCUGACGCUGAGGCACGAAAGCCAGGGGAGCAAACGGG